CCUACGGGAGGCAGCAGUGGGGAAUAUUGGGCAAUGGAGGAAACUCUGACCCAGCGACGCCGCGUGCGGGAUGAAGGCCUUCGGGUUGUAAACCGCUUUCAGCAGGGAAGAAGCGAAAGUGACGGUACCUGCAGAAGAAGCACCGGCUAACUAUGUGCCAGCAGCCGCGGUAAUACAUAGGGUGCAAGCGUUGUCCGGAAUUAUUGGGCGUAAAGAGCUCGUAGGUGGUUCGUCACGUCGGAUGUGAAAAUCUGGGGCUUAACCCCAGACCUGCAUUCGAUACGGGCGAGCUUGAGUAUGGUAGGGGAGUCUGGAAUUCCUGGUGUAGCGGUGGAACGCGCAGAUAUCAGGAGGAACACCAAUGGCGAAGGCAGGACUCUGGGCCAUUACUGACACUGAGGAGCGAAAGCGUGGGGAGCGAACAGGAUUAGAUACCCUGGUAGUCCACGCCGUAAACGGUGGGCACUAGUUGUGGGGACCUUCCACGGUCUCUGCGACGCAGCUAACGCAUUAAGUGCCCGCCUGGGGAGACGAGCGCGAGAUAAACUACAAUUAGAGUAGUUACGGCGUGAGACGNGCCGACGGACGACGACGAGGGGAGGAGG
rnacentral:rRNA from 1 species